GAUUUCUGUGGAUUGCUAAAGUAACAUUACUAUUCAUUUUUCAUGUGGUGUGUUGGCUAGACUUAGUUUAUUGUGCAUAAGAAUAGAUCAACCAUUCAAAUACCUUUUAUGUGUUAUAAGAGCAAGAAACAACAUUUGAUUGGUAUUAGUUUCUGUGAGCAUUGCUUUAUUUAUAACGAGCAAACAAUACUCUUUGCUAUAUAGCAUUUCUGCCUACCAUCUAAAACUGAGCACCUCUUUUGUAGGGAAUAGUUUUUGUGGCGUCCAUUCGCUGGCACACUACGUCUCCCAGUGCUGCCUUAUCGCUGAUUCAGUCCUAGCUGCCGCAUCACCAUUCUUGAUGUCGCCACCGCGACAAGGUUGUGGUCAUGUCCUCAGGUAAAUAUUCACCGGAGAAAAACUACAUGCAGAUAUCGUAGUUCCUAUGUUCAGCUGGUUGUAGCCUGCCGUGCAUAUGUUUUGUUGAAAUUAUGAAGGAUUUGCAGCUUCCGUCAUCAGCGAGAGAGGAUAGCUGGGAAUGUAGGUGUUAUGUGCUGUUGAGUUAUGGGUGAGCCACCUAAUUGUGGAUGACAAAUAAAGUGUCAGGAAAAUUUGUCUGCCACACAAUAGAAGAAACACUAAUUACAAUAGGGGAUUGGGCGGUGAUGGUGUCUUCGUCUCAGGAAACGCUGGACCUACUUUGGGAUCAAGGAGAACAAAUAUAAAUAGGUAUUUGCAACUUCACUAGCCUAUAUAAUGGUUUUUAUUUCACAUAAUGGUGUUUUGCUUCUGUAAGCAAAAAAUAGGGGCAAAGGGUAGUAA